UCUUAGCGGGGGAUAACUAUUGGAAACGAUAGCUAAUACCGCAUAAAAGUCGACAUCGCAUGAUAUUGAUUUGAAAGGUGCAAAUGCAUCACUAAGAGAUGGACCUGCGUUGUAUUAGCUAGUUGGUGAGGUAACGGCUCACCAAGGCAACGAUACAUAGCCGACCUGAGAGGGUGAUCGGCCACACUGGGACUGAGACACGGCCCAGACUCCUACGGGAGGCAGCAGUAGGGAAUCUUCGGCAAUGGAGGCAAGUCUGACCGAGCAACGCCGCGUGAGUGAAGAAGGUUUUCGGAUCGUAAAGCUCUGUUGUAAGAGAAGAACGAGUGUGAGAGUGGAAAGUUCACACUGUGACG
rnacentral:rRNA from 1 species